CAUUAGCACUGCGAACCAGGAAAAAUAAAUAAUCAGUAGAUACAAUCCAUUGUCUAUGGUUUUCCCGACAUCCGCACCGUUAAAGAUUCCGAAUGAUGCGACAUAUUCAUAAAGUGAGCCAAAUCUGACUACACCAUCAAUAUGGGUCAAGGAAUAUCCGACCAUGACUAACGGGCCCACAAUACGAUAAUAAGAAGAUGAGCCUUCCGUCCCUAAAUCGCCAAGUCGUGUCGCGAUAUAAGGAAAUGCAAUAAUUACCCCAACCAAAAACAGGGUUAAUGAGACCAGCGCCAGUGGAAGUUUUUUCUUUAUCGCAUCCUUAUUCAAAUAUUGGAACGCCCACUCCAGAAGGUAAAACAGGAUAAAGG
rnacentral:misc_RNA from 1 species